AAAAUGAAAUGGGGAAGAAAGGUUGAUGUAACACUUAGAUAGAGUUAAAAUGAGUUAAAGUAUAACAAAGGCCUAAUAAACAAUACCAAAUAACCUCUAAAAUUGUUAUGAGUUUUUUUUUUUUUUUUCUUUUCCCAUUUUCUGUGUUUGCAACAAAUCUAAUGCAGCUGAAGCAUUCAACUUGGUCAUUUCAGAGUGAUUAUACCAAGGCCUUAAAUAAAUGGGCGAACACCGAAGUUGUACAACAAGCUCUCAACAUUCGUCAAGGAACAGUUGGAAAAUGGGAAUUGAUCAACAAUACCUUGCAUUACGAUCAAGGAAAGAAUGACACAUUGUGUUAUUCUUAUGAUAUCUUUAGUAGUUUUUCCCACCAUAAGGAACUUUCUAGU